rnacentral:rRNA from 1 species
CCUACGGGAGGCAGCAGUGGGGAAUUUUGGACAAUGGGCGCAAGCCUGAUCCAGCCAUGCCGCGUGCAGGAUGAAGGCCUUCGGGUUGUAAACUGCUUUUGUACGGAACGAAAAGGUCUUUUUUAAUAAAGAGGGCCCAUGACGGUACCGUAAGAAUAAGCACCGGCUAACUACGUGCCAGCAGCCGCGGUAAUACGUAGGGUGCAAGCGUUAAUCGGAAUUACUGGGCGUAAAGCGUGCGCAGGCGGUAAUGUAAGACAGAUGUGAAAUCCCCGGGCUCAACCUGGGAACUGCAUUUGUGACUGCAUUGCUGGAGUGCGGCAGAGGGGGAUGGGAAUUCCGCGUGUAGCAGUGAAAUGCGUAGAUAUGCGGAGGAACACCGAUGGCGAAGGCAAUCCCCUGGGCCUGCACUGACGCUCAUGCACGAAAGCGUGGGGAGCAAACAGGAUUAGAUACCCUGGUAGUCCACGCCCUAAACGAUGUCAACUGGUUGUUGGGUCUUCAUUGACUCAGUAACGAAGCUAACGCGUGAAGUUGACCGCCUGGGGAGUACGGCCGCAAGGUUGAAACUUAAAGGAAUUGACGGCNGAGACGAGACGACGACGACGACGAGGGAGGAGG